UACGAACUGUGCGAACGUUAUUCGGAAUCACUGGGCUUACAGGGUGCGUAGGCGGCUAUUCAGGUCAGGUGUGAAAGCCCCCGGCUCAACCGGGGAACUGCGCUUGAAACCGAAUGGCUCGAGUCAGCUAGAGGUACACGGAACUUCCAGUGGAGCGGUGAAAUGUGUUGAUAUUGGAAGGAACACCGGUGGCGAAGGCGGAUCUCUGGGCCUUGCCUGACGCUGAGGCGCGAAAGCUAGGGGAGCGAACAGG
rnacentral:rRNA from 1 species